GUGACGCGCCUCUUUCUACCUGACUUUUAGCCGACUGUGCUCUGUCUCUACUCAGUCGUUCACUAUGUGCUCCUUUCUGUCCAUUAAGACUAAAAUAGUUAAUUGGUCAUAUGUUGGGGAAAACAGUGUGUUAACGUGUGUGAUUUGUAGUCUCCAGGGCUAAUCACUGACGGUGAUAAACGGAAAGCCUUGCCCCGCUGACCGCAAGCAGCACCCCUGAAGUAACGUCCUCACAGUUUCACAUAACCUCCGUCUCUGAGCAAACCCCCUGUGUUUCCAGGAUGUAGGGGGUUGUAAGGCAGCCAGCUAAGAAGACACAACAUUUAGCGAUACAUUUUUGAGUUACUCGAAGGGCUCUUCUCUUUUGGCAGACGCUAGCCGCCCCCCCCCCUCCCGCCAACGUCCUGUCCACUGAAGCACAGACGUCGGUCCUCCCACUCCCGUUACUCAUUUUGCCCAAAGAGUGAUAGACAUAGUCUUCCAUGUAGCUCUACGGAAAUCGGAUUUUCUGAGAUCUCGAAUGUGUUAAUAUCCUAGGGAACAACAGAGUGCCCCUGGCCUGGCUCCUGACAGCGCUUUCAGCCGAAGAGACGGUCACACUGGACGGCUCUAAAGGAGGUUGUACCAGUGUCUGGUUCAGGAGUAGUUUAGCCAACUUCACUAGCGUUCAUCAGCGGAGCUGAGAGAGCGUUAGAGCAGUGAACACAAAUGACACGCACUGCCCUACCUUUGCAUCACCUAAUUUCCAUUAAAGUUAAUUUUUUAGUUGGGUUA